rnacentral:rRNA from 1 species
AUUGAACGCUGGCGGCAUGCCUUACACAUGCAAGUCGAACGGUAACGGCCCUUCGGGUGCCGACGAGUGGCGCACGGGUGAGUAAUACAUCGGAACGUGCCCGAUCGUGGGGGAUAACGAGGCGAAAGCUUUGCUAAUACCGCAUACGAUCUACGGAUGAAAGCAGGGGACCGCAAGGCCUUGCGCGGACGGAGCGGCCGAUGGCAGAUUAGGUAGUUGGUGGGAUAAAAGCUUACCAAGCCGACGAUCUGUAGCUGGUCUGAGAGGAUGAUCAGCCACACUGGGACUGAGACACGGCCCAGACUCCUACGGGAGGCAGCAGUGGGGAAUUUUGGACAGUGGGCGCAAGCCUGAUCCAGCCAUGCCGCGUGCAGGAUGAAGGCCUUCGGGUUGUAAACUGCUUUUGUACGGAACGAAAAGCCUUCUUUUAAUACAGGAGGGUCAUGACGGUACCGUAAGAAUAAGCACCGGCUAACUACGU